AUUGAUAUUAUCAAUUGAUUGAUUAAUUAAUUAAUUAAUUAAUUAAUAUUAUCAAUCAAUUAAUUAAUUAAUUAACAGUGACUGGAAGAAAUAACGAGUAGUAAAAUUAUGGAUACCAAUAUUGAGCGAUCUCAUGUAAUGAAUUUUCAUCUAAUUACAUCAAUUUAAACGCAUGUAAAAUUCACUGCGAAAGUCUACUCAACUGUAAAUUGGUUUUCAUUAAGAAAAUAUUUUUACAACAAACAUAGAUUAAGUUGAUAAUAAUAAUAAUUUCAAAUUUCUUAUAAAUUA